rnacentral:tRNA from 1 species
GAGAAAUUAGUUAAAUUAUAACAUAAGAUUGUCAGUCUUAAAUUACUAAUAUAAACUUUAGUAUUUCUCA